rnacentral:pre_miRNA from 1 species
AGGAGGAACAGCCCCAGUGGCGGGGCAGCUCUGGAAACCUGGAUUCAGCUCCGGCAGGAACUACAGAGCUCUCCGUCUGCAGGGCCUGGAGGCUCCGGGGCGGG